rnacentral:rRNA from 1 species
AUUGAACGCUGGCGGCAGGCCUAACACAUGCAAGUCGAGCGGGGUUUUCGGACCUAGCGGCGGACGGGUGAGAAAUGCGUAGGAAGCUACCCGAUAGAGGGGGAUACCAGUUGGAAACGACUGUUAAUACCGCAUAAUGUCUACGGACCAAAGUGUGGGACCUUCGGGCCACAUGCUAUCGGAUGCGCCUACGAGGGAUUAGCUAGUUGGCGGGGUAAAGGCCAACCAAGGCGACGAUCCGUAGCUGGUUUGAGAGAACGACCAGCCACACUGGGACGGAGACACGGCCCAGACUCCUACGGGAGGCAGCAGUGGGGAAUUUUGGAGAAUGGGGGCAACCCUGAUGCAGCCAUGCCGCGUGUGGGAAGAAGGCCUUCGGGUUGUAAAGCGCUUUCGGACGGAACGAAAUCGCGCGGGCGAAUAUCCCGCGUGGAUGACGGUACCGUAAGAAGAAGCACCGGCUAACUACGUGCCAGCCGCCGCGGUAACAC